ACAAAAAGCUAACAUGACGAGAUCUAUCUUAUUAUUAGCGUUCGUAUGUUCGUUAUUCAUAACGUACACAGAGGGUGAGUCUUAUUUUUCCAUUGCUUUUCUCUUCGAAUCUGUAUAGAAAUUGGACAGUUUCUCUUUCUAAUUGAUACGAUCCAAAUACAAGGGGCGUCAAGGGAAGAAUGGAAUCAAUUUUUAAUACGGAUGAAAUGGGUACGUUAAAUCCGAUUUCCAAGAGAGUGCCAUUGUAAGUGAUAUUGAUAUUUUCAUUUUCUCAAUUCAGGACGACCGACUUUGCAGUAUCAACUUGCAUGAUGCAUGUCGAAUACGAUUGAAAUGGAUACAUUAAAUCCGAUAUCCAAGAGAAUGCCGCACCAUGACUCUAUCUGUAUGUUAACAACUCGCAAUAUUCGUUGAGGGCUCCGUAUGUGACUUGUUGCAUGUUAAUUUUUUCACCCUAUGAUGGCCAAUAUGACUUCUAUUUCCAGUAGGAGUACGCUUUUAUUAACCAACUGUUCUUUUUUUAAACAUUCAUGAAAUACUUGUCACUAGACGUUUUAAAGAAUAAAAAAAUCACUCAUUAUUAUGUAAACCUCUAACUAAUUUUUUUUAAUUAUAUGAUAAGUAUAUGAUAAACCAGUAUUUUGGUGUCAUUUUAGUAUAAGUAUGGGAUUGUUGUACUUUAACUUUUGAUACUGUCGAAUUUACUAUACAGUCCUAUAUUUGGUUUUGAGCAUCACUGAAAUAAGAAAAAACAAAAACAUGCGAGCUAUCUUUGAUACUGUGUUUGUUAUAAUUGUUUUGUUUUGUUUGUACUUUCCACAUAUCUAUAAUUAUAUAUUAUAAUAGACCUAACUCGUAUACCUAGCUGAUAGUCCAUUCCAAGAGGGUUCGAGAUAAAGUUUUCACCUCGUCACAAGUCAAUGUGCUUAUCCCAAGUCAGGAACUACUUCAGAGUACUAAUAUGUCUUUUAUCAUAUUUCAAAUAUAUUUGAUAUUGGAAUCGGCUUUAAAAAAUACUUACGACAAAGAUUGGUCGUAAGUCAUGAACAAAUCAGUAUACUUACGAUCAAUCUUAGUCGUAAGUUGUUUUGUUAAACCGACUCGUGGUAUUCAGAAACAUGAUAGUGAUGGCAUAUCUAUGGCAUUAUAUGUACGAUUUGGUGCUCGACUUGUUAUAUUGACCUUUCUAUUGUUGAAGAUUGAACGUUGACCUUUUUUUUAUCUCAGGUUUGGAUUUUGCGUUGUCUAAUCGACAUAUACUCCAUAUCUCCUUUAUUCAAAACGAUAUGUUAUGCACCAAAGAAGCUACAUAAUCUUGUUGUUUUUGAUUAUGCUCAUUCUGUGAUCAUCAGUGUUGUAAACGAUAAUUUCCGGCUUAUAUGAUCAAAUUUACUCCAUGUAUAAUGUAACAAUAGAACAUUGUGUAUUUCAUUAAUUAAUGCAGUAUUAUCACAGGCACUUGUAUCAGAAAUUUGUUAUAUUAAGGUACAUUGUAUUUUUUUUCUGAGACAAGUGCCUGUGAGUAUUAUACAUGUAUACAGAAAACUUUAGCCAUAUGUGCUGUAUUAUUAAUAAAUAUAAUGCAUUAAUAUAAACUACAUUUUUAUUAUUUUUUAGCGUGUUGUAUUUGUGUAACGGAACCUUGUAACUGUAGACCUAAGUGUGGAUCAUUUCCAAUUGGCCAUAAGAAGCAAUUUUUUAGCAGAAGUAGAUCCCGAUCAUCAUCUUUGCUGAAUACUCUCAAUGCAAGAUGAAGCAUACACAGUCGAAAAAGGAUGAUAAAGCAGAAAAUAUAAAUUAAACACAUGUUGUUUUGUCAUUAUAAUACUUUGUUUUGUUUAGUUGCAUCAAGGAGGUUCAAGGAGG
rnacentral:lncRNA from 1 species